AACGUAGGAGACAAACGUUAUCCGGAGUUACUGGGCGUGAAGGGCGUGUAGGCGGUCUGUUAAGUCUGGCGUGAAAGCUCUCGGCUAAACCGGGAGAGGUCGUUGGAUACUGGCAGACUAGAGGACGGUAGAGGCGAGUGGAAUUCCUGGUGUAGCGGUGAAAUGCGCAGAUAUCAGGAGGAACACCAAUUGCGAAGGCAGCUCGCUGGGACGUUACUGACGCUGAGACGCGAAAGCGUGGGGAGCAAACAGG
rnacentral:rRNA from 1 species